UACGGAGGGGGCUAGCGUUGUUCGGAAUUACUGGGCGUAAAGCGCACGUAGGCGGCUUUGCAAGUUAGAGGUGAAAGCCCGGGGCUCAACUCCGGAAUUGCCUUUAAAACUGCAUCGCUAGAAUUGUGGAGAGGUAAGUGGAAUUCCGAGUGUAGAGGUGAAAUUCGUAGAUAUUCGGAAGAACACCAGUGGCAAAGGCGACUUACUGGACACAUAUUGACGCUGAGGUGCGAAAGCGUGGGGAGCAAACAGG
rnacentral:rRNA from 1 species